GCCUAAAACGUCCGUAGCCUGUUUGGUAAAUCUGUGGGUAAAUCAACCAGCUUAACUGGUUGAAUUCUGCAGAGACUGCCAGACUAGGGACCGGGAGAGGUGUGGGGUACUCUAGGGGUAGGGGUAAAAUCCUGUCAUCCUUAGAGGACCACCAGUUGCGAAGGCGCCACACUGGAACGGAUUCGACGGUCAGGGACGAAGCCUAGGGGCACGAACCGGAUUAGAUACCCGGGUAGUCCUAGGUGUAAACGCUGUGAACUUGGUGUCGGGGAUCCGUCAUGGGUCCCCGGUGCCGGAGUGAAGAUGUUAAGUUCACUGCCUGGGGAGUACGGUCGCAAGGCUGAAACUUAAAGGAAUUGGCGGGGGAGCACUGCAACGGGAGGAGCGUGCGGUUUAAUUGGAUUCAACGCCGGAAAACUCACCAGGGCCGACUGUUAGAUGAAGACCAGUGUAACGAACUUGUCGGAUUUUCAGAGAGGUGGUGCAUGGCCGUCGUCAGUUCGUACUGUAAAGCGUUCUGUUAAGUCAGAUAACGAACGAGACCCUCAUCUCUAUUUGCUACCUGUCUCUCCGGAGACAGCGCACUAUAGAGAGACCGCUGGUGUUAAACCAGAGGAAGGCGAGGGCAACGACAGGUCAGUAUGCCCCGAAUGUCCUGGGCUACACGCGC
rnacentral:rRNA from 1 species